UGAGGUAACGCAACUGAUCCCGAAGAAGCUGGCUGGAUCCCCGGGGAGAGUUCCAUUUUCUUUGUGAAGGACAGGGCGGCCUGGAAUGGGCCGAGAGAGGGGCCCAAGCCCUGGAAAGCGUUGCGGUUUCGGCGGCGUCCGGUGAGCUUUCCCUGGCCCUUGAAAAUCCAGGGGAGAG
rnacentral:ncRNA from 1 species